CAGUCGCCGCGGUAAUACGUAGGUGGCAAGCGUUGUCCGGAAUUAUUGGGCGUAAAGGGCUCGCAGGCGGUUUCUUAAGUCUGAUGUGAAAGCCCCCGGCUCAACCGGGGAGGGUCAUUGGAAACUGGGAAACUUGAGUGCAGAAGAGGAGAGUGGAAUUCCACGUGUAGCGGUGAAAUGCGUAGAGAUGCGGAGGAACACCGGUGGCGAAGGCGACUCUCUGGUCUGUAACCGACGCUGAGGAGCGAAAGCGUGGGGAGCGAACAGGAUUAGAUACCCCCGUAGUCCCUGUCUCUUAUAC
rnacentral:rRNA from 1 species